rnacentral:rRNA from 1 species
CAGUAGCCGCGGUAAUACGGAGGGUGCAAGCGUUAAUCGGAAUUACUGGGCGUAAAGCGCACGCAGGCGGUCUGACAAGUCAGAUGUGAAAUCCCCGGGCUUAACCUGGGAACUGCAUUUGAAACUGUCAGGCUGGAGUCUUGUAGAGGGGGGUGGAAUUCCAGGUGUAGCGGUGAAAUGCGUAGAGAUCUGGAGGAAUACCGGUGGCGAAGGCGGCCCCCUGGACAAAGACUGACGCUCAGGUGCGAAAGCGUGGGGAGCAAACAGGAUUAGAUACCCGGGUAGUCUCUGUCUCUUAUAC